rnacentral:lncRNA from 1 species
UGCAGAGGAUCAACUGCUAAAAUAAACAUGAUGAAAACUGAAGUCCACUUCUAUUAAGUCUGGAGGAAGCUCCUCAGACAGUGCUGGCACAUGUAUGCUGUGGUUUGACCAACAUGAUCCGACAUUUUGAAGGCCCAGAUGGACUGCCAGAGUUCAAGGACCAGAGGAAAUAUCUCCAAACAGCCACUUACUAGUGUAUGUGCUGCCUUUAUUUGGGUGUCAGCACUAAACAAAGAUUUUUGGCUGUGCAAAUUAACAUUUUUAAGAAAACCCCAUCCACUACAGUCAGUAUUUUUCUGCCAGUGAGGGGUCUUUGUCUCACACUUUGGUCUUUGCCAAGAUUUCUUCUCUUUCCUGCUCCUCUAACGAAGCCAGGUGUUGCCACAGCUCUGGGAGCCCCUCUCCCUUAUCUACCUCCUGUCCAUGCCCAACCCUGGCUCAGGCUGAGCGUCACCUCCACUUUCCGUGCUGCAAGACUCCUGGUUGCACCCACCACCACCCUGAAGCUUCCAGCACAGUGUGCUGCCAGCCACGUGCCCUACGCCCGCAGCUGGGAAAUGUGGAAGAGACAUGGUGUCAGCUCUUUGCCAGAUGGGACACUGAUGCAUAGAGAAAAUCCUUCAGGGUAA